CUUUUAUGAUGUAUCAUGCACAUGUCUUACGUCCUGUGUCAACACCAGAACCUGAAAAGGUGAACCCACUGGUGCUGCCUGGGCAAUAAGGGGAUGACUUGUUGGUUUCCAACUGUCUGAAAAGG